rnacentral:misc_RNA from 1 species
CCGAAUUGUCAACAUGAGUUGUUGCUGGCCCUCAAACCAAGGGGGCAUGUGCACACUUCUGUUCACACAUCCACUCACACCUGUGCACCCUCCGUAGUUCUAUGCCCUGGGGGCUCUGCCCUCCUGUUGUGGUUCUACGUCUUUACACAAACGUAUAUAAAAAGUCUCAUGGGAUGUAUAUAUGUCGCGUUUAACGCAAUACAAUA